GUGUAGUGCCAAGAUGAGGCCCGACAGGAGACUUGGUCAUGGAGAGGCUUUGUACCGGCAAAGGGAGCUGCUCCCCAAUUCACCACAAGGGCUAGCCAGCGGCAGCGAGCUGUAAGCGAGAGUAUUCAAGCAUGUGGUGGACUCCAAUCAAGUUGUAGAAACAUCUCAAGGAUGAUCGUUGGAAACAGGAUGCACCCGAGCUCAAUUUCGAGUCUCAUAGCAAAGGGUCUGAAUACUUAAAUAAGAAAUCGUGAAUUGGCAUGGGGGUUUGGUUUUAACCUUCACUUUGGCUUCCCCUCCUGUCCAGCUCAGGCGUUCGGCGUCACCGGCCUUCUAGCUGCUUCUGAACCUACUGUUGGCAAAUGCCCUUCACUCAUCAACCCCGGACUUGUCUCGUCAUCAUUACACACACCUGGUUCCAAUCCCCACUCUAUCACUGUAUAUAUACUCCCUCUGCCAUUUGUCUUUGUCGGUUAUUGCAAAUGUUACUUGUUUUCCUGAGAGGAAUCUCACCUACUAUUUCCUGAGUACUUUAUAUUUUGCACUUUGGGUUCGCCCUGUGCCUUUUUGUUUAUGAAGAUAUAUUUUCAGCAC
rnacentral:lncRNA from 1 species